GUCUACUUGGUGAAAUUUGGCAUAUGCGAGUCACUUAAAAUGACUUACCAAGAGGUGUACUGGUUCAAGUCCAGUAGUAGACA